GGUGUAGCUCAGUUGGUAGAGCAGUGGUCUCCAACACCAAAGGUCGAGAGUUCGAAUCUUUCCGCC
rnacentral:tRNA from 1 species